UACGUAGGGUGCGAGCGUUGUCCGGAAUUAUUGGGCGUAAAGAGCUCGUAGGCGGUGUGUCGCGUCGGCCGUGAAAACCUGGGGCUCAACUCUGGGCGUGCGGUCGAUACGGGCAUCACUUGAGUUCGGCAGGGGAGACUGGAAUUCCUGGUGUAGCGGUGAAAUGCGCAGAUAUCAGGAGGAACACCGGUGGCGAAGGCGGGUCUCUGGGCCGAUACUGACGCUGAGGCACGAAGGCCAGGGGAGCAAACGGG
rnacentral:rRNA from 1 species